rfam:Myotis davidii contig156940, whole genome shotgun sequence.
GCCUGUGUAGUUCAGUGGUUAGAGUGUCAGUCUGCACACAGAAGGGUCACAGGUUUGAUUCCCUGUCAAGGGCA